GAAACAGAUAAACAACAAAACUCGUGGAAUUCUGUCAGAUCAAACCCUAAUUCUAGGUGUUGGUUGUAUAUUGGUCCUUUCCCUUGUUUAUUUGAUAAUUAAAAUUGAUACUUAAGAACCGUCAACAAAUACCCCCAUACUUAGGCUUUUACUCGUCCUCGAGAAAAGGAUGGUUAAGAACAAUAUCUGGGGUAAAACAUUUUAAAACAUUCUUUAUAUUUGCAGGGUGUUAAAAAUCCACUGUGUACCAUAGUCGGGAAGUAUAUGGUUAAGAGUAAAGAUCCUUUCUUCUCAAUCCUGCCACUUGGAGUUUUUUGUAUAUUUUUGAAAGAAAGUUAGCAUACCUUUUUAUCCUCAUAGGUUCUUUCAGAUCACUCAUUAUCUUUUAUAUAUAUAUCUCACUGAGGUUGUUUUAAUUUACAAAAAUUCUCAAGCAUACUUACUUUGCAUUUAUUGCCUGAUCAAAACGGGAUCCGAGGAGGGGAAUGUCAUACUCUUAGAUCAAAGACUUUGGAAAUUAAAAUCUUUGUCAACUCUUGCUGGCAUAUUGCUUAUUAGAGGGACCAUGGGCUAUCAUUUUCUCUUUUUCUUCUCUUUUUUUUAAGUGGAUACCGAGGUACCCCUAAUUCUACUGCCGGACACUUGUCCAUUUUUUUCUGUGAGGUUGUCGAGCACUUGCUCCUUUUUAUUUCCUCGAAAAUAUCUCUAUUUUUGCAUAGCCCAUGCCUCUAAUGCAAUAAUACUUCGGAAGAGUGAAUCUUUCUGAAAUAAUGUCUUGAUCUUAGGAGCAUGAUAAAUCUCUCAACAAGGGUCUAACUCAUUUUGAACAAACUCAAUACAGAGUAGAUAGCUUUUAUAAUCAUAAUUAAUAUUUUCAGUUUUAUCAGACAUAUAAAACACUGAGGAUGGUAGCUAAAAUUUUGAAUAUUUUGAAAUAAAUUCUCCAAGCAAUAAUGAUAUCAAGAAUAAGAAACUCAUACUCUACCAUCACAUAUUCCACAAUGACUUAAGUAACACAGGGUUUUAAAAUAAUUUUAUAAUAGUUGCAAGUUUUCAGGAAAUAUCACAGAU
rnacentral:lncRNA from 1 species